CCAGUUUCACACCGAGGUGCCCUGUUUGCUGGGUAUGCUGGCUAACGUCCCUGUUUGCUGGGUAUGCUGGGUAACGUGGCCACAUGUUCAGGAGUCUGCGUUCAAAUCCUGCAGGCAAGUUUCCUCCUGUGGAACAACAUGUGAUGUCCACAUCUCAUCCUCCUCCUCCCUCAGGUGAUGUCCACAUCUCAUCCUCCUCCUCCCUCAGGUGAUGUCCACAUCUCAUCCUCCUCCUCCUUCAGGUGAUGUCCACAUCUCAUCCUCCUCCUCCUUCAGGUGAAGUCCACAUCUCAUCCUUCUCCUCCCUCAGGUGAUG